AAGUGUUCCUCUCUUACUCAACAUUCCAAAGAAUAUUGAUUGUUAGAGUACCUCUUUUCCUUCCUUAUAUCUAGUUAUCUACUCCUCUUGACACCGAAAUCUAUGAGUUUAGAACCUUGGUUCACCUUGCUGGCUCCAAUCAGUCUGGAAAAAUAGAAGUGGAAUCCAAGGCCAAGAAAGAUGAAGAAAUUGAGAAUCGGAGACGUGUCUACUUUCCCAGGAUCACUCAGUUAAUAAGUGGGAGAGAGAGAAUGGCUUGAAAGU
rnacentral:lncRNA from 1 species